rnacentral:rRNA from 1 species
AUUGGACGCUGGCGGCAGGCCUAACACAUGCAAGUCGAACGGUAACAGGAAACAGCUUGCUGUUUCGCUGACGAGUGGCGGACGGGUGAGUAAUGUCUGGGAAACUGCCUGAUGGAGGGGGAUAACUACUGGAAACGGUAGCUAAUACCGCAUAACGUCGCAAGACCAAAGAGGGGGACCUUCGGGCCUCUUGCCAUCGGAUGUGCCCAGAUGGGAUUAGCUAGUAGGUGGGGUAACGGCUCACCUAGGCGACGAUCCCUAGCUGGUCUGAGAGGAUGACCAGCCACACUGGAACUGAGACACGGUCCAGACUCCUACGGGAGGCAGCAGUGGGGAAUAUUGCACAAUGGGCGCAAGCCUGAUGCAGCCAUGCCGCGUGUAUGAAGAAGGCCUUCGGGUUGUAAAGUACUUUCAGCGGGGAGGAAGGGAGUAAAGUUAAUACCUUUACUCAUUGACGUUACCCGCAGAAGAAGCACCGGCCAACUCCGUG